ACCCGCUGAACUUAAGCAUAUCAGUAACGGCAGAUAAGAGAAAAUAACUAUGAUUCCCUUAGUAACUGCGAGUGAACCGGGAAGAGCCCAACGUUGAAAGCUGCAUCCCGCAAGGGAUGUCGCAUUGUAACGUAUAGACUCAUCGUCGAGAUGGUAGCCCACACCAAAGUUACACUGAACGGUAUGCCAAAGAGGGUGAUAGCCCCGUGUUUAGUGUGGGUUGUAUACUGUCAAGUACGGUGGUGUCUUAGAGUCGGACUGUUUGGGAAUGCAGUCUAAAGCGGGUGGUAAACUCCACCUAAGGCUAAAUACAGACAGGAGACCGAUAGCGAACAAGUACCGUGAGGGAAAGUUGAAAAGUACCCUGAAAAGGGGGUGAAAAGUACGUGAAACCGUUGGUGGGGAAGCGGACGAUAGAAUCGAAGUGGUGCAUGAUUGUGUCGGGGACAGUGGUGUAACAGCCGGUGUUUCCUGGUGCUUAUUCGUGAUGCUACGCGCUGAGCUCAUCGUUGGAGGCGUCUGUCGCGUCUUGCAGGUUACAGCCAAGGGGCGUUCUUGAGAGUGCUUUCUAACUGUGAAUGUAGGAUGAGUGUUAUAGAGGCGUCAUGAACGGUGAUGGUCGUUACAGCGAUGCAUGUGCAUAUCGUAAGUCGUGGUGGUUUGGGUAGUCUUUGAUUUGCUUGACCGGACGGUGUAACAGCCUAUGGUUUUGUGAAGGAGACGAAAUUAACAUUACGAAAGAUGGUAGUAAUGUGCAUUGCGAGUCGAGCGACGAACACAUACUCUCAGCGAGAUAUGCUAUUGUCCGACCCGUCUUGAAACACGGACCAAGGAGGCUAACGUACGCGCGAGUCGAGGAGUUGAGAAACUCUAAGGCGUAACAAACGUGAGUGUGUGAUCCCCGGUUGGAAGCUGUCAAAGGUGACUGAGUGGGGCGCAACACAGGCCGGUUUGAAGGUAGACUAGAAUCGAGUUGAAGCGUGUGCGAGAGGACCCGAAAGAUGGUGAUCUACGCGCGAAUAGGGCGAAGCCAGUGGAAACACUGGUGGAGGCUCGUAGCGGUUCUGACGUGCAAAUCGAUCGUCAAAUUUACGUGUAGGAGCGAAAGACUAAUCGAACCAUCUAGUAGCUGGUUCCCUCCGAAAUAUCCCUCAGGAUAGCCGAAACUCAUAGAUACAGUUUCAUCGGGUAGAGCGAAUGAUUAGAGGCAUUGGGAUUGUUAUCGGUCCCGACCUAUUCUCAAACUGCCAACCGGUGAUGUAAAGUCGGCAGCGUUUCUUGAUUGAACGUCUGUGACAUGUGUGUUGAAUGUGAGAGUUUCGAGUGGGCCAUUUUUGGUAAGCAGAACUGGCGAUGCGGGAUGAA
rnacentral:rRNA from 1 species